AGAGCGAACGCUGGCGGCAGGCUUAACACAUGCAAGUCGAGCGGGCGUAGCAAUACGUCAGCGGCAGACGGGUGAGUAACGCGUGGGAACGUACCUUUUGGUUCGGAACAACCCAGGGAAACUUGGGCUAAUACCGGAUAAGCCCUUACGGGGAAAGAUUUAUCGCCGAAAGAUCGGCCCGCGUCUGAUUAGCUAGUUGGUGGGGUAAUGGCCCACCAAGGCGACGAUCAGUAGCUGGUCUGAGAGGAUGAUCAGCCACAUUGGGACUGAGACACGGCCCAAACUCCUACGGGAGGCAGCAGUGGGGAAUAUUGGACAAUGGGCGCAAGCCUGAUCCAGCCAUGCCGCGUGAGUGAUGAAGGCCCUAGGGUUGUAAAGCUCUUUUGUGCGGGAAGAUAAUGACGGUACCGCAAGAUAAGCCCGGCUAACUUCGCGCCAGCAGCCGC
rnacentral:rRNA from 1 species